GUGACGAAGCGACGCCGCGUGUGGGAAGAAGGCCUUCGGGUUGUAAACCACUGUCGGGAGUUAGGAAAUGCAGGUGCGUUAAUAGCGCACUUGCUUGACUAAGGCUCCAGAGGAAGCCACGGCUAACUCUGUGCCAGCAGCCGCGGUAAUACAGAGGCGGCAAGCGUUGUUCGGAAUUAUUGGGCGUAAAGAGCACGUAGGCGGCCUUGCAAGUCAGUUGUGAAAGCCUUCCGCUUAACGGAAGAACGGCAUCUGAUACUACAGGGCUUGAGUACGGGAGGGGAGAGUGGAACUUCUGGUGGAGCGGUGAAAUGCGUAGAUAUCAGAAGGAACGCCGGCGGCGAAAGCGACUCUCUGGUCCGAAACUGACGCUGAGUGUGCGAAAGCUAGGGGAGCAAACGGGAUUAGAUACCCCGGUAGUCCUAGCCGUAAACGAUGGGCACUAAGUAGAGGGGUUUUGAUUAUUUCUCUGCCGGAGCUAACGCAUUAAGUGCCCCGCCUGGGGAGUACGGCCGCAAGGCUAAAACUCAAAAGAAUUGACGGGGGCUCGCACAAGCGGUGGAGCAUGUGGCUUAAUUCGAUGCAACGCGAAGAACCUUACCGGGGCUUGACAUGGUAGAAGUAGAAUCCUGAAAGGGUGACGAUCGGUAUCCAGUCCGAAGCUAUCACAGGUGUUGCAUGGCUGUCGUCAGCUCGUGUCGUGAGACGUUGGGUUAAGUCCCCUAACGAGCGAAACCCUUGUCUUUAGUUGCUAACGGGUAAUGCUGAGCACUUUAGAGAGACUGCCGUCGUUAAGACGGAGGAAGGUGGGGACGACGUCAAGUCAUCAUGGCCCUUAUGUCCCGGGCUGCACACGUGCUACAAUGGUCGGUACAAAGGGAUGCUAAGUCGUCGAGAUGGUGCGCAAACCUAUAAAGCCGAUCUCAGUUCAGAUUGGAGGCUGAAACUCAGCCUCC
rnacentral:rRNA from 1 species